ACGUAGGUGGCAAGCGUUGUUCGGAAUUACUGGGCGUAAAGCGUGCGCAGGCGGUUGUGCAAGACAGAUGUGAAAUCCCCGGGCUUAACCUGGGAACUGCAUUUGUGACUGCACGGCUAGAGUGCGGCAGAGGGGGAUGGAAUACCGCGUGUAGCAGUGAAAUGCGUAGAUAUGCGGAGGAACACCGAUGGCGAAGGCAAUCCCCUGGGCCUGC
rnacentral:rRNA from 1 species